rnacentral:tRNA from 1 species
GCUCAUGUGACGGAACGGCAUACGUAUCCGGCCCAGAACCGGAGUUUUGGGAGUUCAAGUCUCCCCAUGAGCACCA